ACAGAAUGAGAGAUUGAGAGAGAGAGAGAGAGAGAGAGAGAGAGAAAGGCAGAGGGAGAAGCAGGCUUCAUGCAGGGAGCCCAACGUGGGACUUGAUCCCAGGUCUCCAGGAUCAUGCCCUGGACUGAAGGCGACGCUAAACCACUAGCCACCGGGGCUGCCCAGAAGAAGCCAUUUCUGUAGAGAUCUCUGCAGGAGGGGUUUAAGACAGAGGGAACAUCAAGUGCAAAGCUUUAGACAGACUUGAACUAUAUGGAGUUUAUAGAUCAAUGUUUUUCAGACUAUGGUUUGUGACCAAUCUGUGGGACUUAAAAUCAAUCUAGUAAGUUGCAACAAUUUUUAAAAAAUGAAAUAGAAUAGAAAAGAGUAAAAUAGGAAAAUCAGAGUGCAUUAUAUACUUCAAGAAUACAUUUUUCAUCAAAUGAUGUUGUGUGUGUGCAUGCACGUGUGGGUGUGUGUGCAUGCGUAGUCAUGCACAUGCUUCUGAGUGCAUAUACGAAUCACAACAUAAAAUGUAUUUUUCCCUAUAAGGCUCAAAGAAGAGCUUGAAAGACACUAUUAUACAGCUAUCAAAGGAUAUGAAUACUACUCCACGUGGAAUGAGGCAGAAAGGGAAUUUUGAAACCACAUACAUACAUACAAAGGAAGAAUGAGCUGCUCAAAAGCAAAAGCUGGAUCCACUGAUCCAGUCCCAUUUCUUUAGCAAGAUCAGAUUUAUGUAUUUAGGAAACUAAAAAUUGGACUGCAGGUCAUGGUGUGUUUUACAUCUGGGCUGGCCAUUCGGAGGUUCAAGUAGCCAUCCACACCUAUUCUGCAUUGAACAGCCUUGGGCAAACUACAAAAAGGUGCCCCGUUGGCAUGGGCAGAUUAUAAAAGAAGUUAUCUCCUCUGAGGUAGAGUGGAAUGGCAAUGACCUCUCCAGGGUAACUAGGCUGCAUUGCUUGGCAGGUGACUUUUACCCUCCAUCCCCCACUUUUUCCAUAGCUGAGUAGCUUUUACCUUACAGGGUCUAUACAACUGUAUUUGGAAUCCUUGGAUAUUCCCAGAAUCUCCUGUGCUUUGCAUCCCAUCCAUCAAAUUCCAAUAGUAUUUGCUAUCUUGGAUGGUAAUUAUUUACUUGUCAGUCUUUAGGAUUUUUAGGCAAUAUCAGUACCUAGUACAGAGUCUAGUUCAAAAUUAUGUUAAAAAAUGAAGCAAGUAGUUGGCUAGGAAUUGACGAAGUGAAUGAAUAUAUUAGACAUGGAUAUGAGAAACCACACAGAGCUUGCACAUAGAACAAUGUGAAAUAAUGACAAAUGGAAGAAUGUCUGAGGAUCAGGCCAAGUUCUAAUGUACACCCUGAAAGUUCCUUUUAGCCCCAUCUACCUCACUUAUUCUUACUUCCCGAUUUUUGCUCUUGCUUUUUCCUAAUAAUCCAUUUUCUUAUUUUCAGUUGGACUAUUGUUGGUGGCUGAGCCCCUGCUCUGACAUUUCCACAAGUCACUUUGGUCUAGCAUGAUUUGCUUUUGCUUUUUCACAUCUUGGUUUUUCCUCUAUGAUAACCAAUCAGCUGGUUUAGCUAAUCUCAUACCACUGAAAAAUCCGUCUGUCACAUGUCUAACUUCUUAAGUCCUGACAUUCUCCCUCACAGUGAGCCUGGCCCAUUUCACCCCUUUCAUGUUACCCAAUUUAGACUGACUUCCCAUAUUGUGCCUUCAUUUAUCAAAUGAAAUUAGUCACUUGGCAUAUCAAGCAUUUUGAAAUAUUCAUAUGCAGGCAUAACAUAGAAGUCUGUACAUAUCAGCAGUAAUUAAUGUUAAAAUAAACAGGGUAAAUUUACUUAUUCCAACAUUGCCAUUAUUAUUUAAUUAAAAUAAUUUAUACAGUACUUUUAUACCUAGCAUAGUAAGCAUAUUAUUUAAAAUUCACGUGAAUCAUUAAUAUAGUAAAGAGCUGUGAAGACUAUUUCUUUUUUUAUGAUUUUUUAAAUUUAUUUAUAAAAUAAUUUUUAUCAUGAAGACCUGGCACAGAGUGUGGUUAUUAAUAAGGUGAUUGUAGCUGUGUUUAAGUCAGGCAAAUAACCUGAACAAAUUAUUGACCAAGAUUCCAGUACCUAAUCCAAGAACUUCUUUUUUUUUUUUUUAAGAUUUUAUUUAUUUAUUCAUGAGAGACACAGAGAGGAAGAGACACAGGCAGAAGGAGAAGAAGGCUCCCUGUGGGAAGCCUGAUGUGGGGCUCCAUCCCAGGACCUGGGGAUCAUGACCUGAGCCAAAGGCAGAUGCUCAACUACUGAGCCACCCAGGUGCCCCCAAGAGUUUCAAUUAAUAUUUUGCUAGUUGAGAGGUUCUUUGUCAAGUAUGCAAAUAUUAAACAAUAUAAGAAGAAAUAUUCCACAUAUUUCAUUCAGCUUUACUGUUGGAAAAUAAAGUUUGUUUAUUUUUGUUUGUUUUUUACUCUAGUUUAUCAGCCAUGAUUGAGCUUUUCAAAAGAUAUGGAUUUUUGGAGUAUCUCCAUUCAAAUCUGAGUAAUUGUAAAUGCAAAUAGGCCUGUUAAAUAAGGUCUGUCUCUUUGUGCCAACAAAGUGAAAUGACUAACUUCAAAAAAUUCAAUGAGGAAUCAGAGUCAGCUUUACGGACAAUUAUUUAGGUCAUGCUGCCUUAACUUGGUCUUUGCUCAAAGAGUCAUUCUUUCAAUUUAGAGCAAAUUGUAGAAAAUGGAAAAAUCACCAAGAAUAAGGGCUUUUGUUUGUACACAUAUGCACAAAUUUUCUUUUGAUUGUAGGACAUGUACACAAAUUAUGCUGAGUAUGAUGUCUAUGACACUUUUGUUCCUCCUCCUACCUCACAUUCUGGUAUUAAAAAAAUAUUAUCAUGGUUUUGUUUUGGUUUGUUUGUUUGUUUUAUUUAAAUUUUAGUUAGUUAACAUCUAGUGCAAUAUUGUUUUCUGGAGUAAAAUUCAGUGAUUCAUCACUUAUAUAAUAAUCAAUGCUUAUCAUAACAAGUGCCCUCCUUAAUACCCAUACCCAUCACCCAUAUAGACUUCUAAAAUGCUGAGUGCAUAUUUUAUUUGCAAGAGGGGAGCUUAUAAAUUAAACCUUAAUUAUUACCUGCUCUAAGCUCUAAUAUAUAUAUGUAUAAAAUAGGCAUAAUAAUAGGUCCAUGUGAUGAGAAUACAAUGGGCUAAUACACCCAAAAUCUUUAAUACGGGAUCUGUCACAUACAGUAAUUGCUCAAUAAAUGUUAACUAUUGUUAUUACUGACAGAGUAGUGUUUGAGGCUUCAUUAUAUUUAAGAUUUGAUUCAUUUAUAAAAUAUCCAUCUCUCAAAUCCAUAUUAACUAUCUCAAAGGAAAAAGAAAGUCAUAAACAGAUAUAUAUGCAUGUUAAAUUGUACAGUGAGGUUUAGUGACGUCUGCAACUUACUUUGCAUCUAAAAAAAAAAAAA
rnacentral:lncRNA from 1 species